rnacentral:rRNA from 1 species
CGCUGGCGGCAUGCCCAACACAUGCAAGUCGAACGGAAACGACGAAAACAAUCCCUUCGGGGCGCGUUUUCGGGCGUCGAGUGGCGGACGGGUGCGUAACGCCUAGGAAUCUACCUUAUAGUGGGGGACAACUCGAGGAAACUCGAGCUAAUACCGCAUAAUCCUUACGAGGGAAAGCAGGGGAUCUUCGGACCUUGUGCUAUUAGAUGAGCCUGCGUCGGAUUAGCUUGUUGGUAGGGUAAUGGCCUACCAAGGCAACGAUCCGUAGCUGGUCUGAGAGGACGACCAGCCACACUGGGACUGAGACACGACCCAGACUCCUACGGGAGGCAGCAGUGGGGAAUAUUGGACAAUGGGCGCAAGCCUGAUCCAGCAAUGCCGCGUGUGUGAAGAAGGCCUUAGGGUUGUAAAGCACUUUCAGUAGGGAAGAAAUGCGUGUAGCUAAUAACUGCGCGUCUUGACGGUACCUACAGAAGAAGCACCGGCUAACUCCGUGCCAGCAGCCGCGGUAAUACCGGAAGGGUGCAAGCGUUAAUCGGAAUUACUGGGCGUAAAGCGCGCGUAGGCGGUUAUAUAAGUCGGAUGUGAAAGCCCUGGGCUCAACCUGGGAACUGCAUUCGAUACUGUAUAACUAGGAGUUUGGUAGAGGGAAGUGGAAUUCCACAUGUAGCGGUGAAAUGCGUAGAUAUGUGGAGGAACACCAGUGGCGAAGGCGACUUCCUGGACCAAAACUGACGCUGAGGUGCGAAAGCGUGGGUAGCCAACAGGAUUAGAUACCCUGGUAGUCCACGCCGUAAACGAUGUCGACUAGCCGUUGGGGGAAUUUGUCCCUUAGUGGCGCAGCUAACGCGACAAGUUGACCGCCUGGGGAGUACGGUCGCAAGAUUAAAACUCAAAGGAAUUGACAGGGGCCCGCACAAGCGGUGGAGCAUGUGGUUUAAUUCGAUGCAACGCGAAGAACCUUACCAGCCCUUGACAUCCUCGGAACUUACUAGAGAUAGUUUGGUGCCUUCGGGAACCGAGUGACAGGUGCUGCAUGGCUGUCGUCAGCUCGUGUCCUGAGAUGUUGGGUUAAGUCCCGUAACAAGCGCAACCCCUAUCCUUAGUUGCCAGCACGUAAUGGUGGGAACUCUAGGGAGACUGCCGGUGACAAACCGGAGGAAGGUGGGGAUGACGUCAAGUCAUCAUGGCCCUUAUGGGCUGGGCUACACACGUGCUACAAUGGCCGGUACAGAGGGUUGCCAACCCGCGAGGGGGAGCUAAUCCCAGAAAGCCGGUCGUAGUCCGGAUUGGAGUCUGCAACUCGACUCCAUGAAGUCGGAAUCGCUAGUAAUCGCGGAUCAGAAUGCCGCGGUGAAUACGUUCCCGGGCCUUGUACACACCGCCCGUCACACCAUGGGAGUGGGUUGCACCAGAAGUAUUAGCCUAACCUUCGGGAGGGCGAUUACACGGUGUGAUUCAUGACUGGG